rnacentral:rRNA from 1 species
GACGAACGCUGGCGGCGUGCUUAACACAUGCAAGUCGAACGGAAAGGCCCUGCUUGCUGGGUACUCGAGUGGCGAACGGGUGAGUAACACGUGGGUGAUCUGCCCUGCACUUCGGGAUAAGCCUGGGCAACUGGGUCUAAUACCGGAUAGGAGCCACUUUUAGCGUGAUGGUUGGAAAGUUUUUUCGGUGUAGGAUGAGCGCGCGGCCUAUCGGCUUGUUGGGGGGGUAAUGGCCUACCAAGGCGGCGACGGGUAGCUGGCCUGAGAGGGUGGACGGCCACAUUGGGACUGAGAGACGGCCCAGACGCCGACGGGAGGCAGCAGUGGGGAAGAUUGCACAAUGGGCGCAAGCCUGAUGCAGCGACGCCGCGGGGGGGAGGACGGCCUUCGGGUUGUAAACACCUUUCGCUAGAGACGAAGCUUUUUGUGACGGUACCUAGAUAAGAAGCACCGGCUAACUACGUG